rnacentral:lncRNA from 1 species
AUGAAAUUUACUUUACAAUGACUCAUGGGCCCACAAGGAACAAAAGUGCACAAAGGCAGUAAACCUACAGUUUUUGGAGUAGUAAAGUCGACUAUAAUCCUUGACGAUAUCUGCUAUCCACAGGCUACCUCAGGCCUGAAAUGGUUGAAAAUGAGGGCGGUGAGAUUAUAAAUCCCAGUGAGUAAAUACAUAUCAUCUAAACCAUCUAAAGUUGAGUAAAUGGAGAUAGAUAAAAUAGUUUAACAUACUGAAAUUCAUCACCUUUUAACUUGUUUCAACCAAAUAAAAUCAAUUCAUAUAAAUCGAGUAAUUAACAUGGCUUAUGAAUUUUUUAAAACUUUGGCUCGUGCCAAAAUCAGUAUCAUACUCAAUCAUCAGGGAUACCUUGGCCGAGGGCUAUCCCAAACUGAGUCCGCCAAGGCUGUUAAAAAGUUAUGUACGCAUAAAUCAUGUUUUUAUUUUGAAAACAUAGCCGUUUCUUGGCGUUGGCCGAGUUCACCCUCACGUGGUGGUUGGGCGUGAAGUGAACUCUAAAGUUUGACCUCGGGAGUUACCCUACGCGCCUCUCUAAUUGAGGUACAUAUAUAUGACCAGGUUCCGUGCCCCUCUAAUAGGUUGGUCUACAGAACCAGCCCACUGCAACAAGCUAAACCCACCAUACAAUAAAAAUUCAACAACAUGAUAUGGCAAUUUUAUCAUUAUCCAGCUUAUCAAGGAAAACAACAGUUUAUACAUUUCAACACAAAUACCAAUUCAGCCAUUCAUGCAAAUAUUGUCAUAAGCCAAUAAAUUAAAACCAUAAAUUCACAAUACAUCAAAUGGUCUCCAAUUACUCUAUUUUCAAAGCCUUCAUUCAAUUUCAAGACCAUUUAUGAAAUCAUUUUGUUUAAACACAUUUUGUUUAUAAAACCUAAAAAUUUACCAUUUAAACUCAUUGUCCAUUAAAUCAAAAAAACAAAUAAAAACCACUCUAGAUAAUUAAGACGAUAGUAAGGUUACUCAUAGUACUAGGAGUUCGAUAUACUCCUAUUCCCGAUCUUCAGGCACAAUCUCUUUACUCUUGUUAGAGGGCUCACCACCUAUACAUCAUACGUGACACGAAUUUCAAUAAAUUGUGUCAAUUUAUCAUAAACUAUUUCAGGCUCUAUAAAUCUAUAUGAAUGCACGAAAUGUGAUGCAAAAUGUUCGAAUAACCACUUAAAUACGGUAUUCGACCUAAAUCGCACUAUUCUCGGUGUAAUUGGCUAAAACCUCCAAUUUAACUCCAAAUAGAUUUCUUUCACUUUCUACACUCCAAUUAUACUUAAAAUACCUCAAUGACUGUGAAUAUGAUUCAAUUUAUCAGUCCGAACCACAAAUCGCACAUGUCUAUACAUUAGGUAAAAAUUCAGAUUUUCAUGGCAAAAUUUCUCAUUAAAUUUCUAGCCUCACCAAUCAUUAAAUACCACCAAAAUAUCAUUAAAUAUCAUCAAUAUCAGCCUCAAUAUCCUCCCUAAAAAUUUGGCCUCUUGUGGGUUUGUGAAGAACAAAGUGAUUCCUUGCCAGAUUUUCAUACUUUCCAUUACCAAACAACCAAAAACACUUAAUUAGCUUGAAAUCUAGCAAAAUCAAUGCUCAAAACCUCUCCUCUCAAAUUCGGCCAGCAUGGGUUCAUCAUGCAAACUUGAGUUCUAAGCAUGGAAAAUGAAAAAGAAAGCAUGGGUAGUGUAAAUCACAAGAUAAAAUCACAAAAUUUUACCUUUAUUAGCUUAAUCCCUUGAAAUCCCACACUUUUUCUUCAAUUUUCCCACCUAGGGUUUGUGUUCUUUCCUUUCCUCUUCACUUCAUGCUUUGG